CAGUAGCCGCGGUAAAACGUAGGUCCCGAGCGUUGUCCGGAUUUAUUGGGCGUAAAGCGAGCGCAGGCGGUUAGAUAAGUCUGAAGUUAAAGGCUGUGGCUUAACCAUAGUACGCUUUGGAAACUGUUUAACUUGAGUGCAAGAGGGGAGAGUGGAAUUCCAUGUGUAGCGGUGAAAUGCGUAGAUAUAUGGAGGAACACCGGUGGCGAAAGCGGCUCUCUGGCUUGUAACUGACGCUGAGGCUCGAAAGCGUGGGGAGCAAACAGGAUUAGAUACCCCCGUAGUCCCUGUCUCUUAUACA
rnacentral:rRNA from 1 species